GACGCACCGUGACUCUUUUACGCGAACGCAUGAGUUGCGAGUAUCCGAGAUUUUGAGAUCUCAAUAACGAGUGAAUGGAUCAAUUUCUAAGUAGGUUCGAUCGAUAGCUUGGGGUUUGAUUUAUAAAUAAGAGUCUUUUUUUUCCGUUACGUGCCCUACGAGCGAAGAUAUUGCGAUGCAAAGUCCAAAUGUGGAAAAUUUUUUUUUAAGAAACGUCCACGUCGGACAAAAAUGGCGGCUGGUGUGUCACUUUCCCAUUUUUGACACGAGAGUGCAUUCGUGCACUGUUGCAGUGCGUGACAGUGACAGUUUUUUACAACCUAGAAAAGGAUAAGUGUAAGUGUGUGAUAGUCGUGACCGUUGCCGCGUCGUGACAGAUAGUGAAAUAUAUAUAAGUAUUGACCGUAGAGAGCUGAUGCCGAUAGAUCUUUAAGAAGGAAGGUGUAUCUACAAAAUCGUACAAACACAGAGAUGUCGAGGAGAUCUUUAAAAGAAGGAAGGUAUAUUCAAAAUGGCACACAUACGUCGUCGUCUCUCAAUCAGAGAAACGUAACCUUCACUACUUUCAACGGUGGCUCUUGAUUUCCGAUCAUAAUAGUUACUAUAAAAUCUCCCGUUUACGCGGAGGAAUUAUCGUAUCGUAAGUUACUACAGAAGUAACGUUUGCGUAAAUAGGUUAUAAAAAUAACACGAUGUUAUAUAUGUGGUUUGCCGUGAA